GACGAACGCUGGCGGCGUGCUUAACACAUGCCAGUCGAACGGAAAGGCCCUGCUUUUGUGGGGUGCUCGAGUGGCGAACGGGUGAGUAACACGUGAGUAACCUGCCCUUGACUUUGGGAUAGCUUCAGGAAACUGGGGCUAAUACCGGAUAGGAGCUCCUGCUGCAUGGUGGGGGUUGGAAAGUUUCGGCGGUUGGGGAUGGACUCGCGGCUUAUCAGCUUGUUGGUGGGGUAGUGGCUUACCAAGGCUUUGACGGGUAGCCGGCCUGAGAGGGUGACCGGCCACAUUGGGACUGAGAUACGGCCCAGACUCCUACGGGAGGCAGCAGUGGGGAAUAUUGCACAAUGGGCGGAAGCCUGAUGCAGCAACGCCGCGUGCGGGAUGACGGCCUUCGGGUUGUAAACCGCUUUCGCCUGUGACGAAGCGUGAGUGACGGUAAGGGGUAAAGAAGCACCGGCUAACUACGUG
rnacentral:rRNA from 1 species